AGAGUUUGAUCCUGGCUCAGGACGAACGCUGGCGGCGUGCCUAAUACAUGCAAGUCGAGCGGACAGAUGGGAGCUUGCUCCCUGAUGUUAGCGGCGGACGGGUGAGUAACACGUGGGUAACCUGCCUGUAAGACUGGGAUAACUCCGGGAAACCGGGGCUAAUACCGGAUGGUUGUUUGAACCGCAUGGUUCAAACAUAAAAGGUGGCUUCGGCUACCACUUGCAGAUGGACCCGCGGCGCAUUAGCUAGUUGGUGAGGUAAUGGCUCACCAAGGCAACGAUGCGUAGCCGACCUGAGAGGGUGAUCGGCCACACUGGGACUGAGACACGGCCCAGACUCCUACGGGAGGCAGCAGUAGGGAAUCUUCCGCAAUGGACGAAAGUCUGACGGAGCAACGCCGCGUGAGUGAUGAAAGUUUUCGGAUCGUAAAGCUCUGUUGUUAGGGAAGAACAAGUGCCGUUCGAAUAGGGCGGUACCUUGACGGUACCUAACCAGAAAGCCACGGCUAACUACGUGCCAGCAGCCGCGGUAAUACGUAGGUGGCAAGCGUUGUCCGGAAUUAUUGGGCGUAAAGGGCUCGCAGGCGGUUUCUUAAGUCUGAUGUGAAAGCCCCCGGCUCAACCGGGGAGGGUCAUUGGAAACUGGGGAACCUGAGUGCAGAAGAGGAGAGUGGAAUUCCACGUGUAGCGGUGAAAUGCGUAGAGAUGUGGAGGAACACCAGUGGCGAAGGCGACUCUCUGGUCUGUAACUGACGCUGAGGAGCGAAAGCGUGGGGAGCGAACAGGAUUAGAUACCCUGGUAGUCCACGCCGUAAACGAUGAGUGCUAAGUGUUAGGGGGUUUCCGCCCCUUAGUGCUGCAGCUAACGCAUUAAGCACUCCGCCUGGGGAGUACGGUCGCAAGACUGAAACUCAAAGGAAUUGACGGGGGCCCGCACAAGCGGUGGAGCAUGUGGUUUAAUUCGGAGCAACGCGAAGAACCUUACCAGGUCUUGACAUCCUCUGACAAUCCUAGAGAUAGGACGUCCCCUUCGGGGGCAGAGUGACAGGUGGUGCAUGGUUGUCGUCAGCUCGUGUCGUGAGAUGUUGGGUUAAGUCCCGCAACGAGCGCAACCCUUGAUCUUAGUUGCCAGCAUUCAGUUGGGCACUCUAAGGUGACUGCCGGUGACAAACCGGAGGAAGGUGGGGAUGACGUCAAAUCAUCAUGCCCCUUAUGACCUGGGCUACACACGUGCUACAAUGGACAGAACAAAGGGCAGCGAAACCGCGAGGUUAAGCCAAUCCCACAAAUCUGUUCUCAGUUCGGAUCGCAGUCUGCAACUCGACUGCGUGAAGCUGGAAUCGCUAGUAAUCGCGGAUCAGCAUGCCGCGGUGAAUACGUUCCCGGGCCUUGUACACACCGCCCGUCACACCACGAGAGUUUGUAACACCCGAAGUCGGUGAGGUAACCUUUUAGGAGCCAGCCGCCGAAGGUGGGACAGAUGAUUGGGGUGAAGUC
rnacentral:rRNA from 1 species